UACAGAGGGUGCAAGCGUUGUUCGGAAUUACUGGGCGUAAAGGGUGCGUAGGCGGGUCUUUAAGUCAGGGUGAAAUCCUGGAGCUCAACUCCAGAACUGCCUUUGAUACUGAGGAUCUUGAGUUCGGGAGAGGUGAGUGGAACUGCGAGUGUAGAGGUGAAAUUCGUAGAUAUUCGCAAGAACACCAGUGGCGAAGGCGGCUCACUGGCCCGAUACUGACGCUGAGGCACGAAAGCGUGGGGAGCAAACAGGG
rnacentral:rRNA from 1 species